AACGCGAAGAACCUUACCUGGGCUCGAAAUGUUAUGGACCGGAGUAGAAAUAUUCCUUCCCAGCAAUGGGCCGUAAUAUAGGUGCUGCAUGGCUGUCGUCAGCUCGUGUCGUGAGAUGUUGGGUUAAGUCCCGCAACGAGCGCAACCCUUAUCCCCAGUUGCCAUCAUUAAGUUGGGCACUCUGGUGAAACCGCCUCGGAUAACGGGGAGGAAGGUGGGGAUGACGUCAAGUCCUCAUGGCCUUUAUGUCCAGGGCUACACACGUGCUACAAUGACCGGUACAAACCGUCGCAAACCCGUGAGGGGGAGCUAAUCGGAAAAAGCCGGCCUCAGUUCGGAUCGCAGUCUGCAACUCGACUGCGUGAAGCUGGAAUCGCUAGUAAUCGCGGAUCAGAAUGCCGCGGUGAAUACGUUCCCGGGCCUUGUA
rnacentral:rRNA from 1 species